ACCUGCCACGUUUAAGCCGUUAUCUGCAAUUAAUGGCGUUUCUACCCUCAUUCACCAAACCCGCCUUCGUCAACCCAUAAAUUACCAACCCAGAAUUCUCAUGCCCCUCUCUUCUUUCAUUCUACUCCUCUCUCCUCUCAAGAACCAUGAACUUCAGCCUUCAUCGCACCCUCUCUUGUGGUCGAGCAGAACAGUAGGAGGAAAAGAAGGAAGCGGCGACGCUCCACCAAAUCAGCUGCAUUCCGCCAUCAAUCAGAUCGGAGGAGGGAGGAAAAAAACAACAAGUUAACAAGAACAACAAGGACACUAAUCUGUGCAACUCAAGAAAAUACCAAACUCUCAAAAUUGACUGGACUGAGGUGAUAGAGUGGGAUAAGGAAGUGACGCAUCUUGGAGAAAAACUCAUGGGAUUGUUGUCUAAAGGGAUGGGACAAAGUCCUAACAAUUUGGCUGGGAAGUCCUAUUUAGGAAGGAGAACUAUGGUCGACCAGUAUUAUCCAUAUUGUCAAGAGCCUAAAAAAAAAAUUGGGAUUGCUUCACAUACAGAUCCUGGGAUCAAGUGGGUGGACUACAAGUAAAAUAUGAUGGUAAGUGGAUCAAUCUCAAACCAGUUCACGACACUCUUGUUGUUAACAUUACAUUUGGUAUUUAUAGUGUUAGACAUCAAAACAAUCUAAGGGACAAGAAAAUGUCACGUCGAUUGAAGCUUGGGGCAGAAGAAAACAAUUCACCCACAGGGUUCGGUCGAACCAAGGUCAAGUUUGGCCGAACCUAACCAAAGUUCGGCCAAACUUCCCGAAUCUCCAAGCUACUGACUCUUUUCUUGUUCGGUCGAACCAUCAAAGGGUUCGACCGAACUUCCAACAAGUUUGGUCGAACUUCAAAAAAGUUUGGCCUAACCUCCAAAAUCUCCAAGAUACUCUCUUUUCUUGUUCGGUCGAACAAUCAAAGGGUUCAUCCGAACUUCUGAAAGGUUUGUUCGAACCUCAAACAUGUUUGGCCGGACCUCCCUGCUUUAUGACAGUUUCUCAUAAAAUAGUCAUAACUCCAUCGUUUCUCAUCCAAAAUGAGCUUAUGACAAUGCGUUAGAAAGCUAUUGAACAAAGCUUUCACCUCCGACUUGAAUCAACUCAAUCUAAUGAUUAUAUCAUGAGAUAUGUCUAUUUCAAGCCAGUCAUUUCAUUAUAAUAACUCAAACAUCCUUCAAGGAGGAUUCGAGGCACACGUAACACAAGUUUUAUAACCAAAUACGUGCAACAAAUGAUUUGGGAACAAACCUUGUAAAUAUUGUGUAGAACAAAUAGCAAAAACAAUAAUAAAAGACACAGGUGUUUGUGAGGAAAUUUAGAUUUCCUCCCCUCAAAUAUUAUCGUAUUAUUAAGUUCCUGCAAAAUAAUACAAUAACCCCUUAAUUGAUGAUUCGUCUCACCAAUGUAUUUUUCCUCUUCUUCUAGCUAGGCCUAAACCCCCUUUUAUAGGCUAAACUAGAAACCUACAUCUACUAGAAUUAUACUUGCUCUCCAAGUCUAAAUAGUUCUAGAGAUUGUUACAUACCAAAAUAUAUCUAGUUUCCUAAUUACAAUUCUAAUUAAACUAGGAAAUAAGAUAUUAAACCAAACAAGAUUUAAGAGUCCAACGUGAAUAAGAUUCUCAUAAUUCUUAUCAAGUCCACCGUGAUUCCUAACAUCAUUGUUUGAUGUGGUUUGUACCACAAGCUUAUAUUUUACUCCAAGUCCGUUUCGUAUUCUUGUCGACUUAACUAAGUUGUGUUUAAUUCCUAACAACAUGUGAUGAGGUGAAGAAGGAGAACGACCAAAUUCAACCCGGAUGUAGUACAUUCCCCUCAUUUAGAGUUUAUUUUGAACUUUUUUUUGUUUCCGGUAAGUUUACUAUUCCCUCAUUUUAGUAGUUAUACAAAAUAUUAAUUAUGUUCUAACUUAAUUACGGAACUGUACUAGUUAUUUAGCCUUCAAUUGACGGUUUGUGUGAUACUUUGUUCACUAUCAGUGAAAAUUGAAAAACCUUGAAAUUUACCUGUUAAUUAUUUCCCCCCAAAUUUUUGAAUUUUUUUUGUUUCCAGAAAUGGUUAACAUUUAGUCUAGAAAAGUGAGAUGUUUGUUGAUUUAAUGUCUGAAAGUGUUGAUUUUUCUUCUUCUUUCUUCUCUAGUGUCAUAGAUUGUGAAUUUAACUCGUAAUUGCAUUGUUUUUCCUUCCAUUGUAAGAUGUGGAUUCCGUUUGGUUUCCCUUGCUUGAUUUGAAUUUUAUUUGGUUUUGAUCUUGUUCAAGACUUAAACCAUAAGUGUUUUUAAUCAAAAUGGUGAGUGUCCUAGAGGCCGGUAAGAUGUUCAUGUUUCAACUCCAAGAACAUGUUAUUGGCUAUCCAACUCCUAUAUUCAUUUAAUUACUAAUUCCAUAUUUCCAUACCAUAACAAUAAAUCUCGCUCUUGCAAUCAAUACUCUUUUAAUGGAGUUGAUUUGUUUAGUUGUUGUAAGUUUGGUUUGUCUUGUCAUAUUUCUCGUGUAUCGGGAAAUUUUUAUUGCUUUAUUUGAGUCCCAAGACUUCCAACAACAUAUUUUUACACAUUGUUAUGCCUUUGAGUAUAAUAUUGACUUCAUCUAUGUUUCUCUAACUUUUGUUUUCAUGCAAGGUUUCAAUGUCUAUCCCAGGCAACCAAAUUCGUCUUAGGAAUGAUAUAGACAACAUCAGUAACCUACCAGACACAAUCCUUUAUCUUAUACUAUGUUUUCUCCCCACAAAGUCUGUUUGUUAGGACUAACAUAUUGUCAAAUAAAUGGAGGUAUGUGUGGACCAAAGUUCCCGUAUUGGACUUCACUGAGAUGCCUGAUCAUUUUAAGUCAUAUAAAUCACUAAUUUUGGAGCAAAAGAUUUGUUUCAAGAGCUUUGUGGAUAAAGUUCAUGUUCAUAAUGUUGUAUCCCGUUUACAACGAUUUUUCAUAGACCUAUAUGAUGUAGAUGCCUUCUAUGUCAAUUCAUGGCUGAAUGUUGCAGCAAGGCGUGAAAUUCGUGAGCUCAACAUCUACCUUCUUUGGAAGUCAAAGUUGCGUUUUUGUCUGCCUCCACGGAUUCUUGUGGUGGGGAACUUGUGAUUUUAAAACUCAAGGGCCACUUAACUAUCAAUGCCUCAAUGUCUUUGCAUUUUCCAAAACUUGAGACCAUCCGCCUCAAGUACCUAAGGUUUGCUGAUAAUGAAUUUAUGAGAAAGUUGUUAUCCAGUUGUCAUGUUCUUACUUCUUAGAGUGCCGAGGAUUGUAGAAUGUAAGGGCUUAACUACUACCUUUUAUAUAGAGUCAUUGAUGCUAAAGUUACUGGAAAAAAAAAAAAAAAAAAACUCCUUGGGGCGUCCUUUGUCAUUAAAACACCAAAGCUCAUGUUCCUUUGUGUCCAUGGUAAAUUGUCACAGUUUGAUAUUGAGGAUAUGAACCUACUCAAUGGAGCAAAUCUCGAUGAUGUUGAUCAUGGUCAUUGUGCACUAAAGCUUCUAAGUUACAUUUAUGGGGUAAAAGUGUUGUAUUUGGGAUUUAGAGUAAGAACUUCACGAAGGAAAAGAAGCUACCGGUGUUUCGAAACUUGACUUGUUUACAUCACAAACGUAUGGAUGAAGUUACAUUUAGACUAUUAAAUUAUGCUCCCAGCUUGAAAUCUUUGAUCGUAGAGAUUCAGCUCUGGGGACUCAAGCGCAAUCUUAAAUUUGUACCCGAGCAUCUCCCAUGCCUUGAAAGUGUGGAUAUCCAUCAAUUUUGUGGCGAAGAAGAUGAAAUCGACGUGUUAUCUUAUAUUUUGAAGGCUGCACCAGCUUUUGAAGUAGGUGAAAAUUGGAAUUAUGGAUGAUUCCGGAGAAAUACAGACACCUAUUUUUCAGAAGUUACUGAGUCUUUCCAGAUCCUCUGUCGUUUGCCAAGUUAAUGUAACUGUAGUAUGACCUAAGUUGAGACUCAAGACAGUGUUCAACCAUUCAUUAGGGCUUUUGUUAACCUUUUAGCUCAUGAAUCUUCAUACUCUAUCAAUAUUUUUUUUGAAUAUUUUUACUCCAGUUUGAAUGUAUAAAUCCGUAUUUUUCUUGUUUCA